rnacentral:rRNA from 1 species
GCGCAGCAGGCGCGAAUCCUUCGCAAUGCGGGAAACCGCGACGAGGGGACUCCCAGUGCCUACGCUCAGCGUAGGCUGUUCCCGAGCCUAGAAAGCUCGGGGAGUAAGGGCUGGGUAAGACGGGUGCCAGCCGCCGCGGUAAUACCCGCAGCCCGAGUGGUGGCCACUAUUAUUGGGCCUAAAGCGUCCGUAGCCGGCCCGGUAAAUGCCUGGGUAAAUCGUGAGGCCUAACCUCACGAAUUCCGGGUAGACUGCCGGGCUAGGGACCGGAGGAGGGAGAGGGUACUCCAGGGGUAGGGGUGAAAUCCUGUAAUCCCUGGAGGACCACCGGUGGCGAAGGCGCUCUCCUAGGACGGGUCCGACGGUGAGGGACGAAAGCCAGGGGAGCGAACCGGAUUAGAUA